rnacentral:rRNA from 1 species
AUUGAACGCUGGCGGCAUGCUUUACACAUGCAAGUCGAACGGUAACAGGCCUUCGGGUGCUGACGAGUGGCGAACGGGUGAGUAAUGCAUCGGAACGUACCCAGAGCUGGGGGAUAACGCAGCGAAAGCUGUGCUAAUACCGCAUGUGAUCUGAGGAUGAAAGCGGGGGACCGAGCAGCAAUGUUUGGCCUCGCGCCUUUGGAGCGGCCGAUGUCGGAUCAGCUAGUUGGUGGGGUAAAGGCCUACCAAGGCGACGAUCCGUAGCGGGUCUGAGAGGACGACUAGCCACACUGGGACUGAGACACGGCCCAGACUCCUACGGGAGGCAGCAGUGGGGAAUUUUGGACAAUGGGCGCAAGCCUGAUCCAGCAAUGCCGCGUGCGGGAAGAAGGACUUCGGGUUGUAAACCGCUUUUGGCAGGAACGAAACGGUGUCCGCUAAUACCGGGCGCUAAUGACGGUACCUGCAGAAUAAGCACCGGCUAACUACGUG